AUUGAACGCUGGCGGCAUGCCUUACACAUGCAAGUCGAACGGCAGCACGGGAGCUUGCUCCUGGUGGCAAGUGGCGAAACGGGUGAGUAAUACAUCGGAACGUACCCUGAAGUGGGGGAUAACGUAGCGAAAGUUACGCUAAUACCGCAUAUUCUGUGAGCAGGAAAGAGGGGGAUCGCAAAGACCUCUUGCUUUAGGAGCGGCCGAUGUCGGAUUAGCUAGUUGGUGAGGUAAAGGCUCACCAAGGCGACGAUCCGUAGCGGGUCUGAGAGGAUGAUCCGCCACACUGGGACUGAGACACGGCCCAGACUCCUACGGGAGGCAGCAGUGGGGAAUUUUGGACAAUGGGCGCAAGCCUGAUCCAGCCAUGCCGCGUGAGUGAAGAAGGCCUUCGGGUUGUAAGGC
rnacentral:rRNA from 1 species